rnacentral:rRNA from 1 species
UGGUGGAGUGAUUUGUCUGGUUAAUUCCGUUAACGAACGAGACCUCGACCUGCUAAAUAGCGCGGCCUCUUUUCGGAGAGGUACGUGACUUCUUAGAGGGACUUUGGGUGUGUAGCCCAAGGAAGUUCGAGGCAAUAACA